UACGUAGGGCGCAAGCGUUGUCCGGAAUUAUUGGGCGUAAAGAGCUCGUAGGCGGCUUGUCACGUCGGGUGUGAAAGCCCGGGGCUCAACCCCGGGAGGCGGGUGGAUACUGCUCAGCUCGAGUCCGGAAGAGGAGUGUGGAAUUCCUGGUGUAGCGGUGAAAUGCGCAGAUAUCAGGAGGAACACCAAUGGCGAAGGCAGCACUCUGGGACGGUACUGACGCUGAGACGCGAAAGCGUGGGGAGCAAACAGG
rnacentral:rRNA from 1 species